GAUGAACGCUGGCGGCGUGCUUAACACAUGCAAGUCGAACGGAGAUACCAUGUGAGCGUAAGAUGCUUGCAUCAAACAAUCUUUUGGUAUCUUAGUGGCGGACGGGUGAGUAACGCGUGGGUAACCUGCCUCAUACAGGGGGAUAACACUUAGAAAUAGGUGCUAAUACCGCAUAAGCGCACAGAGUCGCAUGACUCAGUGUGAAAAACUCCGGUGGUAUGAGAUGGACCCGCGUCUGAUUAGCUGGUUGGUGAGGUAACGGCUCACCAAGGCGACGGAUCAGUAGCCGGCCUGAGAGGGUGAACGGCCACAUUGGGACUGAGACACGGGCCCAAAACUCCCUACGGGGAGGCAGCAGUGGGGAAUAUUGCACAAUGGGGGAACCCUGAUGCAGCGACGCCGCGUGAGUGAAGAGUAUUCGGUAUGUAAAGCUCUAUC
rnacentral:rRNA from 1 species